UUCUAUACUCUUCAUCUGCAGCACACGCAACAGAAACAGGAAAUACAUGGUUUCAUGUUGGUAUAUGUUCAGAGGGUAUAAGCUGCAGGCUGUCAGCUGAUGCCAACUGUGCAUCGAAGAUGGACAGCGUAUUGACAAAACUUGUUUCUGGAAAGCUCAACAACUAUGCUGCAAUCAUUUUGAUGUUUACCUACAGUGUUUUGCUUGACAGGGACUUUGCGUGCACUUGCAAACCACAAGUUAGGGACUGCUAUUUGUACCUGGUUCUGCCAGUUUUUAUAAUAUUUUUUUUAAUACUCUUGACAGACAGGUCAUUUCAGACAGUCUCUAGAUAUGUGUCUUCAAUUCGAUGCUGUUGCAGAUUUUUGGGUUCUUUCUUCCGUAAACUUCUUAAGGCAGCUUUUGUUAGUCUGCUUUGGGUUGCUUUCGUGUUACUCGAUGGAGACUGGUAUGUUUGCUGUAAGAAUGAUCGCUCUGAACAACAGGCACAGUUAGCCUGCAAAGACAAGACGAAUAUCACUGACAAGGAUCGAGUCGUCAUCGCUGAACUGAAAAACAGGUCCAGGUUUAUCGGUGGCCUUUUACUCUGUAGUAUCAUUGUUGCUGCAUUCUUAAUGUCAUUGUUUGGAUGCAGAAAAUGUUGUGGAAACUCAAGUUGUUGCAAGGGAAAAGUUUUAUAUGACAAACUGAUUUUGGAGGAGGGGAAAAAAGUCGUGAAAGAGCUUUUGAGGGAAUCAGCAAAAGAAAAGUUGACUAAAGAAAUCGAGGACAGAAUACGUCGUAGACAAUGGGAAGACUGUUUUCAUGUUGCUGAAGAACUGAUUCGGACAGAGAACCAGGUAAGAUAAGAAUAUAGCAGUUUUUUAAUUCAGUUUGCCUGAAGGUCUAUAACAAAAAGUUGUAAGUUGAUUUGUUAAGAUACUAAUAGGCAGAAGUUUGUUUUGUGUUUUUGUAUCAGCAGUUUCCUACAAUUUUGUUGCUUCAGUUUAUUGACCUUAGGCAUUUCAGCAACAAGGGAAUGCUCCAUUAUUUUAUAUUUUAUUUAUAUUUUCCUGUCUACACAGGAAGUGGGAAUGUGUUUCAUUGUCUAAAUUGACAUCUGCUGCUUGUGAUCAACUUUAACUGCAUUUUAGAAAAUUUCUAACUAGUUUUAUAAUAUAUUUUAUAAUAUAUUGCAGGCUUCUUAUUCAAACUCUGAACAGUAGAUCAUGUGUUGUGAACAGGAGCAGCAGCCGGAGCGAGAGCCACAACAACAGGAGGAGCUCCUCGAAAAGUUCACAGUCGUACUUUUCUGUGUUUAAUUACAUUCAGUCAGGUGGAGGCAGCAUUCAUUGUAGCCAUAAGCGCAGUGGCAUACCACAAAAGAAGAUACUCCGCGCGCUAGGGGUGGGCGAUAAAUAAUAUCACAAUAUUUCAGGGUAUUUCUCUGAUAAUGCUAUUAUUUACGACAUACGGUAUAUUUGUCUAAUGAAAAUAUAUUAUAUAUAUAUAAUGUUUGAAAGAAUAUAUUACCCUAUUUCUAUUCCUUACUUUUUAUUUCACCAUUUUUGUUCUGUUUAAUUCUCCACAUUAUUUUAGUGUUUACUUACAAACUACUUUAAUCUGCUCACCUUGCUUUGAACAUUUAAUUCAAGUAUCAGAAACUGUAUAUUUCGUUCAUCAGAUCAUUGUCUAAGAAUUUUUAAAUUUAAUUUUUUUACAUUUUCUCUCUAUAGACUGUUGAAUAGACAAAAUUAGAAAAUUGCAUUCAACAUGCAUCUGAUUGGCUGGUGGGGCCACCCGUCAUCACGCCUGCUGUUCAGCCCCUUACACCUGUUUAUUUUCUUAUAAAUGCACUUUGCAUCUGCACCAACUCAUGAGAAAGAAUACAAUUUAUGGCUGACUGACAUGUGAUCUCUACAGAGGUCACUAGAGGUCGCUGCUCCAUCAGUUUUCACUCUGAACACUGAAGUCUUUUAUCAGGAGGUGCAGGUACAGGCAGGUUCAGGUGAGAGAAGCUCAAAAGAAACACAAGGCAAGACAGAAACAUAGCAGCUAGGAUCCCAAAAAGGAUCUGGGCUGGUAGAGAGACAGACUGUGACAGCCACGACUUUAAAUUCGGCUUACAUUUGAACCAAUGGUUUGAUUCAAGUGUCAAUCAAUCAAUAAUCCUUGUUCCUUACGAGCAACAUGAGCUGUCAUGCCUGGUUGUAACCCCUCCUCGCGUGUCAUUAAUAUGCAGUUGCUGUUCUUGUCUGUUUUUUAUUGGUCAUGAUGCUGUUGAUGUCAUCACUCCCCAAUCUCUUCUGUCUUUGUGAGGAGUGAUUUAAAUAUUUACACCAAAUAUUCAAUCUAUUUAUUCUGUAAUCUGUUCCAUGUGAGAUGGCUGACUGACGUGUUUUUCUUACAGAUGCCGCCCCUUAUGCAGAACACGGAGCUAAGUGCAUCAACAUCCUGUUGAGAAAUGUUGUAUGAGCAUCAUCAUCAACUUUGGAUUGAUCUUUAAUCUGUAAUUAUACUGUUUCUAACGGACACAGACUGUGGAAAACUUUGUUUCUUUGCUUUUGUAAUUUGUAAUAGUUUUAAAGUUUUAAAUAAAAGUUUUAAAGAAAUGCUUCUGUCAUGGUUUAUAUUUUCUGUGUUGAGCCUUCAGCCUUCAGCGCCCAGUAUUCUGUAGAGGUCAGUCUGGUGCUAUAACUAAAUGUUUAACUGCUGAAUCAAAUUAUAAUGCAGGUGAAAAGCUUUAAAUGUCUCUGUGAUAAUUUGGCACGACAGCGACACCCUGAACAGGAAGGUCAGAAUGUGUAGCUGCAGGCUUUUGCAUUUUUAAUAAAAUGUUACACUAUAAACAAGAGAAAUGAAGCUCUCUGUGAUGACUUUUUCAUGGUGAAGAUAUUAACUGUUAAUUUUUACCAGUGUAGCAGUCGACUCCUACAGGACGUGUUACAGCCUUUAGCUUAAAAAACGUAAAAACCCUGCAGAAGUGCCCAGUUUGUUCUGUGGUGUACUGGAUGGUUUAUUGGCACCGCCUGUGAUGAGCUCUUUAUUAUGAACACCAGGGAGCGCACACACAGUAUAUCUCAUGAUGUUGUUUGAAAACUUUUUUUUUUUUCUUUUAAUCAUUGAACUGUAUCAUUGUGUUUCACAUUUAAUUUACUGUUUGUCUUAUUAUUGUACUAAUAAACUCAAAGGAAGCUUCCACUAAACCAUGAAGAGAAACUG